CCUACGGGAGGCAGCAGUAGGGAAUCUUCCACAAUGGGCGAAAGCCUGAUGGAGCAACGCCGCGUGGGUGAAGAAGGUAUUCGGAUCGUAAAACCCUGUUGUUAGAGAAGCAAGGGCGGGAGAGUAACUGUUCACGUUUCGACGGUAUCUAACCAGAAAGGCACGGCUAACUACGUGCCAGCAGCUGCGGUAAUCCGUAGGUGGCAUGCGUUAUCCGGAUUUGUUGGGAGGAAAGGGAACGCAGGCGGUCUUGUAAGUCUGAUGUGAAGGCCUUCGGGUUAACCGGAGUAGUGCAUUGGGGACUGGGAGACUUGAGUGCAGAAGAGGAGAGUGGAACGCCAUGUGUAGCGGUGAAAUGCGUGGAUAUAUGGAAGAACACCAGUGGCGAAAGCGGCUCUCUGGUCCGUAACUGACGCUGAGGUUCGAAAGCGUGGGUAGCAAACAGGAUUAGAUACCCCAGUAGUC
rnacentral:rRNA from 1 species